rnacentral:ncRNA from 1 species
UGGUCCUCGGUAGUGGCCUUCGGGUGCCGAAUCUCCCGCGGGUCUCGAUCGAAGACCGG